rnacentral:rRNA from 1 species
ACACGCAUGACACACUGCAUAUCAAUAAGCGGAGGAAAAGAAACUAACAAGGAUUCCCCUAGUAACGGCGAGUGAAGCGGGAAGAGCUCAAAUUUGAAAUCUUCAAGGUUUUCCCUUGACGAAUUGUAGUUUAAAGAAGUGUUUUCGGUUAGAGGAGUUUGGUAAAAGUUCUUUGGAAUAGGACAUCAUAGAGGGUGAGAAUCCCGUAUUUGACCAUUAUUUCCUAGCUUUGUGAUACACUUUCAAAGAGUCGGAUUGUUUGGGAAUGCAGUCCAAAAUGGGUGGUAAAUUUCAUCUAAAGCUAAAUAUUGGCGAGAGACCGAUAGCGAACAAGUACCGUGAGGGAAAGAUGAAAAGGACUUUGAAAAGAGAGUUAAACAGUACGUGAAAUUGUCAAAAGGGAAGCGUUUGACACCAGUGUUGUUUUUCUCGAAAAUCAAUUAAAAAGAGUUGAUUUUGUAAGUUGUAUAGACCUUAUCAGGCUUACUGUACUCUUUUCUUGGAUUCUUUUUGAUGCACUUUUCGGUUAACAAGUCAACAUCAAUUUCUUUUGUUGUAAGAGGGUAAUGAGGAAGGUGGCUUUACUUUCGGAUAAAGUGUUUAUAGCCUUGUACCUCUGCAGUCGGAGAGAUUGAGGUCUGCAGCGUAGAUCCUUCGGGGUUAGAUACAGUUUGUGCUAAGUUAUAGCUUUUCAUAGACAACUUGUUGACUAUGUUAAGUCUUGUAGCUUACUCGCUUAUGCUAUUUUACCUACGCUUAGGAUGUUGAGUAGCGACAUACGCAC